UCGAAAUUUUAAUCCUUUUCACACUUAUAAAAUGUCAAGCAAACUUUAAAAUUUGUUUUUACCAUUUUAGCUGGGAGACCAAACUGAUAGUUUGGUAACCCGCUAUAAUAAACAUUAAAAAUCGAAAGGAGAAAAUAAACAGCUUUGCAAGUUUAACUCAGUGUUUAUUGAACAAGAGAGGUGCAAAAUUUAAGAAGCAACUUGUUAGAAUAUACACGUCUGUGAGGAGACAUAAACAGUAAUAGCAAAAAAUCUACUAUACCAAAAGAACUGGUAAUACAUACAUUACAAGUGUUCUAUGGAAAGAACAUAAGAUUGCUGAAUAAUUCAACAUGAAUGUGAAAUGACAUUAAACAUUGGUUGCAUAACUGAAUUGGUAGUUUCUGCAAUG